AUCAGAAUAUUGAGGUGUCCAGGAUUUUAUACAAAUUAAUGGUAAAUUAAUCGAUAUUCAACAAGAUUAAGAUUGAUUGUCAAGGUUAACAAUCGGCUUUAGCUAUUAACAAACAUUAAUUCACAUUAUAAGGGCCCAAUCAAGGUUAAUAUCUAAUUGGGUCUACCUAUUUAUGCAAAUAGGUUAAGUGUUAAGACGGUGAUACAGCUGAUUUUGAUACCGUUGUAAAUAUAUUGAUUAUCCCUAACGCGUUUACCUAAUGAAGCAAUAAGCCUUUGUUUAUCAAAUCACAUUCAAUUUAAUAUCGAUAAUAUAAAGAUAUUUUUGUUCUAUAUUCUUGUAAUUAGUAAUUUAAACAAAGCAAAUUAGUGCAGAUAUAUGAAUUUGUGUGUUGGAUACAAGUUACACGAAACAAUUGUUGGCUGUGAUACGCAAUUUGGACUGCAUUAAUAUUAAAAUUGGAUAGAUUUUAAUAACCUGAAAUAAAUGUGUGCAAUAGUUUUCAUCACCGACAAUCUAUAAGGAUUUACAUGAGGAUUGAAUAGAGAGUACAACAUGGCGAUUGAGGAAAAACGUUUGCUGUGAAUUUUAAAUACAUAAACUGUUAGUUUAUAUCAUCAUCAUCACCAUCAUCUUAUUAUUAUCAUUGGGAUAGAGUAAAGAUGAGCUUUUGUCAUGCAAUUUGGUCUCAAAAAAUUGUAGCUGUUUUUGCCAAUUUUUAACACGUCAAAUUGUACCCAAAAAAAUCCUUUAUCAUUGCACAUCACUUAAUCAUCAUAACGCCCUCAUCAUUACCAUCAUCAACAUCAUCAUAUCUUCGACACACUCAUACAUGGAGACUUGAGGCUAUCAAUUAAAAUGAUUGGAACUUAAUUGCUCAAGACAGUUUGAGGUCUGGAAUAAGAAAUGAUGAGACAACAUUAAUUUUUAGUUUUUUUCUGUUUAAUUACAGCUUAUAUCAGGUUAAUUUAAACUUUAUUAGUUGUAGGUAAGCCAACAAGGUUGGGUCAAUUAAAAUUUGUCAGCAAAAUUUAAUUGAUUAAUUUCCUCACAUCGUCUUUGAUUGAACGACUAAAGACCUGAAAUAUUGCUGGAAUAUUAUAUUGAAACAAAUUUUGGAUCUACUUUGAUAUUCACGAGCCAUUGAUUGGGCCUACAAUGAAUCGAUGCUUUCUUCGAACCUUCGAUGAUGUUUUGAAUAACCAUGGCAUUUCGAACCAAUAUAUUGUCCAGAGAUUUUAUAGGAAUCAACUAUCAAUCGGCAUUUCUUGAAACUUGGUCAAUUAACCCGGCCAUUUUCAAUCAGUAAUCGUAGCUCUUGGUGUGAUCUUUGAUUAUCCAUAAAUCAAUACAUAUGAACUAUUGGUGGACAAUUAACACACAACUGGGGUGAAAAAGUUCAAACAAAAACAAAAUAAAUUGCCGCAACUGUAUUUAAACUGGUUUACAGACGAUUCAGCUGAUUUCUAACCACCAAUCUCAACAACAAACAUCUAUGGAUUAAUUAAUCACACAAUCGCUAAGUCUUGGAUCAUCCAGAGAUAAUCAUAAUCCUGUAAACCUAACAUAACACUUUCAACGAGAACUUUAAAGUAAGCUUUGCAAAUAUCAAAGACUGUUACAGACUGUAUUUCAGAAGAGUGUUAAAAGGUCAAAAAAUCUUGAUGGAAUUAACGGAAAUGUGCCAGUCAACAAUCAAAACACGGUAUGAACUACAAACCUAUGAAAAAAGUAUAUCAAAAUGGGAGCAAAACAAAGGACUAGACAAGGAAGGAAGGAAGAAACGGCGAAAGGGAGGAAGAGAAAGAUGAUGAUGGAGAUAAGUGAUGAAGAAAGGUUAACUAUCAUUCAAAAUUGGUCCCUAAAUCGUGAAGAUAAAGAUAAAGGGAAAGUUAAUGCUGAAGUGGAGGAGUAGGCCGAGUUUUGAUUUACGUUGGAUUGUUUAUGAUGAUAAUAAAGGUCCUAUGGAGUUUAAAAACAAAACGAGCAGAUGAUAGUAAUGCUUGUCAUCAUUAUCAUCAUUUGUUGCCUCUAAAUUUAUAUUGUACCUCAUUGACCUUAACCAUAGAAUGAUUAUAAUCAUAAUUAUUAUGGAUCUCUUCAUGGGCGUGAAUCCGUUUAAAGAUUAACCCGAAAAGCGUUUUGCUUCAUCAGUACACUCGAUGGAAAUGAUCAACAUUUGGACAAUCCAUUGAUCAACUCAAUGUAAAGCCAAUAAAGAAUCAAUGGACCAGCAAUGGACAAAAGCUUACCAUGAUUUAGCUGAUAUAGUUACGCUUAUUGUUUGUAUUGAUGGAUACACUUUUCUGUUAACUUGAUUAUCUUCAAUUAAUGCUCAUUAAUUAAGUGCCAAUUAAGUUACAUUAAUUGAUUAAAGUGGUAAGACAGAUUUGAAUCAACUUACAAUUCAUGGGCUUGGCAAUUUAAGAUUAUUUGACUUUUUCAUUCUCCUCCGGCAUUAUUUAUCUUCGGGCUAAUUUCGUUUUCUAUAUUUCUUAGCCUUUUCUUGCCAAUAUUUGUUGCGUACACACAUACACAUUACAUUUGUCUCAAAGGCAUGUGACAGUUGCAACUUGAUUCAACAAUUAGGCUUGAUUGAUUAAACAUUGAUUACGAACUCUUACGUUACCUUCCCAUUUUUUUGGUUCCAACUUUUGCCUUUAUAUUGACAAUUAUUAAUCUAAAUAUUAUUGUAACCAGAUUUGGCUUUUCUUGUUAUCAUUAAACCAAAAUUGAGCUACAAAUCAAAUAU